GAAGACACUCAGGAGAUAGCAGUGCAUUUUAGAGAGCGGACCAGCAACUCCCGAGGAAAUCGCGCUUCUCCACCCUUCCCGUGAAAGGACACUUAACUCAGUAGGCUCUGUCAUCAAGUGUAACCGACCCUGCAAGUUCUUUGUUUGCUGAUGUUUUGGAUAGUCCUGAUUCUGUUGGCUGAACUAUGGAACCUUCAAGCAAAGGGCAAGCCCUCUGAUAGAUAGGUCUCAGGGGCAACCAUAUGUGCCAGUCUGUUGCUUUUGGUCAAACACAUGCUCAAUAUUUUCUUACUCAAUAUUUUCUUUCUCAAUGUUGGGCUUGCCAGAAUAAAACUCUCUAAAAGAA